rnacentral:rRNA from 1 species
UACGUAGGGGGCAAGCGUUAUCCGGAUUUACUGGGUGUAAAGGGAGCGUAGGUGGUUUGGUAAGUCAGAUGUGAAAGCCCGGGGCUCAACCCCGGGACUGCAUUUGAAACUAUCAAACUGGAGUGCAGGAGAGGUAAGUGGAAUUCCUAGUGUAGCGGUGAAAUGCGUAGAUAUUAGGAGGAACACCAGUGGCGAAGGCGGCUUACUGGACUGUAACUGACACUGAGGCUCGAAAGCGUGGGGAGCAAACAGG